UUUUUUUUUUUUUUUUUUUCCCCCUUUGGGACACUCAGAGCUAUGAUAUUUCCUUUUAGAACUGCUUUCAUUGUGUCUGAUAAGUUUGGGUAUGUUGUGGCUUAACUUUUAUUAAACUCUAAAAAGUCUUUAAUUUCUUUAUUUCUUCCUUGAUCAAGGUAUCGAGUAGAGUGUUGUUCAGCUUCCACAUGAAUGUUGGCUUUCUAUUAUUUAUGUUGUUAUUGAAGAUCAGCCUUAGUCUGUGGUGAUCUGAUAGGAUGCAUGGGAUAAUUUCAAUAUUUUUGUAUCUGUUGAGGCCUGUUUUGUGAUCAAUUAUAUGGUCAAUUUUGGAGAAGAUGCCAUGAGGUGCUGAGAAGAAGGUAUAUCCUUUUGUUUUAGGAUUAAAUGUUCUGUAGAUAUCUGUUAAAUCCAUUUGUUUCAUAACUUCUGUUAAUUUCAAUAUGUCUCUCUUUAGUUUCUGUUUCCAGGAUCUGUCCAUUGAUGAGAGUGGGGUGUUGAAGUCUCCUACUAUUAUUUUGUGAGGUGCAAUGUAUGCUUUGAGCUUUACUAUAGUUUAUUUAAUGAAUGUGGAUGCCCUUGCAUUUGGAGCAUAGAUAUUCAGAAUUGAGAAUUCAUUUUGGAAGAUUUAACCUUCUAUGAGUAUGAAGUGCUCCUUUUUGUCUUUUUUGAUAGCUUUGGGUUGGAAGUUGAUUUUAUUCGAUAUUAGAAUGGCUACUCCAGCUUGUUUCUUCGGACCAUUUGCUUGGAAAAUUGUUUUCCAGCCUUUCAUUCUGAGGUAGUGUCUGUCUUUUUCCCUGAGGUGGGUUUCCUGUAAGCAGCAAAAAGUUGGGUCCUGUUUAUGUAGCCAGUCUGUUAGUCUAUGUCUUUUUAUUGGGAAAUUUGAGUCCAUUGAUAUUAAGAGUUAUUAAGGAAAAGUAAUUGUUGCUUCCUUUUAUUUUUGUUGUUAAAGUUGGGAUUCUGUUCUUGUGGCUGUCUUCUUUUAGGUUUGUUGAAGGAUUACUUUCUUGCUUUUUCUAGGGUGUAGUUUCCAUCCUUGUGUUGGUGUUUUCCCUUUAUUAUCCUUUGAAGGGCUGGAUUUGAGGAAAGAUACUGUGUGAAUUUGGUUUUGUCAUGGAAUACUUUGGUUUCUCCAUAUAUGGUAAUUGAGUUUUGCUGGGUAUAGUAGCAUGGGCUGGCAUUUGCGUUCUCUUAGGGUCUGCAUAACAUCUGUCUAGGAUCUUCUGGCUUUCCUAGUCUCUGGUGAGAAGCCUGGUGUAAUUCUAAUAGGUCUGCUUUAUAUGUUAUUUGACCUUUUUCCAUUACUGCUUUUAAUAUUCUAUCUUUAUUUAGUACAUUUGUUGUUCUGAUUAUUAUGUGUUGGGAGGAAUUUCUUUUCUGGUCCAGUCUAUCUGGGAUUCUGUAGGCUUCUUGUAUGUUCCUGGGCAUCUCUUUCUUUAGGGAUACAAGUUGACACUCUCACCUGAUUCCCAGGGUCAGAGCCCUCUCUGGAGGCUGACUCUCCUCUGGUGGGGAAGGUGCACAGAGUAAAAAUCAAUUUAAAAAAAGAAGUUACAACUCUAAGAUGCCAUCAUUCAAAUGCCAGGCAACAAUUCUUAUAAUUCCAUCUUCUUGGUUUUCUAAGAAGCUUGGACUUUAACCCAGACCAGUGAUCCUAGCAUCCUGGGCGUGCUAGGGUGCCUGCAGCGUGGUGAGUCCUUUGGGGACAGUGGGACUGUCCCCUGAGUUCAUGCCCACCUUUGCCCGGGGAUGGCACCGACCAGCUCAACUAGUUUUUAAGCUGAAGAGUUUUCUUUCCCCAAGAGGUCCUUGUAUUUUAGCCUGUAUAUGGAGAUCUUGUUAAAAUGCCUUUCCUAUGUCAUUAGGGGGUCUUGGAUUCUGCAUUAUAACAAGUUCUCAGAGGAGGCUGAAGCUACUGGUCCCCAAGCCAAACCCCUUCCUGGUUUGAAAAUCACUGGUUUGGCUCUGAGCUUCAGUUGUAUGUGUUUUUGUAUGGUUGAAUGGGGAAGGAAUGGUUUUGGUAUAAGAACUUCUUACAGGUUUGUCUAACCAGGAGUAUUUUGAGCAAUUUGCCACAGGGGUGAAGUUAAAGUUUUCUUCAAUAGUUUGAUGCUGUCCUGGAGCAGAGACAUGUCUGUUGUGUACAGCUUUCCCAGAAGGUCUUAAAUCUUUUCAGUUAUUCUGUUUGUUUAAGGGAAACUGACUAACCAGGUAUAGGGUCAUAAAGCACAUUAAUGCAUCAGAUACCGUGUAUUUACAAUGGCUGCUGUUCUCUUUACUAGUAAUCGUUCUUGAUGAUAGGGCCAACUAUAGAUUUUAAAAAUGCAUAUUUGGUUUGAAUUUCAUACUGAUGACUUUUCCUGUCAGUAACCGUUGCAGGGAUUUUAACCUUGAGAACAUAAAGUCUUGACUUACUUAAAAAAUAUUCAUUUUUUUUUAAAACAACCUUAGGAACAGGGGAGAUGGUCCAGUUGAUAAAUUGUUUGCUUGUUGCCUAGCAGAAUUGGUGAGUUCUAGGUUCAGUUAGAGACUAUGUUUCAGAAAAUGGGGUAGAAAGUAAUUGAGAAAGACACAUCAUUCUACCCCCUGAUAUCUCAUUAGUACACCUGUAUCACAUGCACACACACACACACACACUCACGUGUAUACAAAUAAAAAAGAAGAAAAUUAAGAAAAUUGAAUAAAAUACAAAUUUAUGAAAUUCUUGAUUAUUUAUUAGAUUUUUUUUUUUUUUUUGUUAACAAAGUAUUACCAAAGCAUACCAAACUAAUUACUUGAAUGAACCAUUCCUCUUAUUUCAUUUCUGGCCUGCAAGGCUCUUAUGCCUUUCCUAUAGCUUUCCCUAUGCCUUUACAAACCUAGAUUUUCAAAGAUUCUGGAUAUUUUCCAUAUGACUGUUGAUGUGCAUUUGUGUGAUCUUAAAAAUAUUAAUUUGAGCUAUGGAGUGAUAAUUUAUUUAAUUUGAGUGGGAAUUAACAUAGGGAGUUGAGGAUUCAAGGGGAAUCCUAUACAAUGGGAGUUCAGUUUUAGGGUUCUAAACAAAACAUUUUGAUUGGCAUGUGGAGACCCUUUGUUCACACAGACAUCCAUAUUUAAAUAUUUAUAGAAUAUAAUAUGUCAAAAUUGCUGUUAUUUUAAUUUGCUUAGUUUGGCUGAUUACUGCAACUUGAUGGUAGUUGAAUUCUAGAUGAAGAGCUCUAAAUACAUUCUGGAGUGCAAUAUGCUUUGUCCUUGAAGCUCCAUGGGUUUUCCUCCCACCUCUAAAUUGUGGGGUCUUUUUGACAAACUUGAUAAACCUUCAUACUCCUUUUAGGG
rnacentral:lncRNA from 1 species